GGGCCUGCAGCCCACCUCACUCAACUCGAACUAGGCGGCCCAGACUUCUCCUUUUGGCCGACGCGUCAAGGAGACGGGACGCGUGUUGAAAUCUCAUCAUCAGCACGACACGCGUCAACCGAUGCCUCAACCUUACCGUCACCUACGCGAGAACCCGCCUGAACACCGCCACCGACACCCUCGUUACGCCGGAGCUCGAAACCGGAGAGCCUCCAACGUCACCACUUUUCUUCAGCUUUCUGAACUUUCUGCGGAGAGCAUCCUCGAUCUCAUCGAGAUCUCAUCCGUCUUACGAGAGCCGUGACCCACAGCAACACAUACAACACACGCUAUACCCGAUCCAAAAAAAACGAAACCACCACUUCUCACCACUAGAGCCGGCGACGCAAAGCUGUGUAAGCCUUCACCCUCCGGAGACAAAACCGACGAGACGUUGCUGAAGAAGCCAACCAUCUCCCGGAGACUUGAGCCGGCGACGGCGGAGCUUUAGUAGCCUCCACCUCCCGAAGAAUAACUUCACCACGCUUUCACCUCCACACGACCGCGCCUUCACUCCAAUAACUCAGCCACCGUUGAUGACGGUUCGCUCCUCGAGCUAUCGUCUCCGGAUGAGAGUCAAUCAGGGCUCGGGCAAAG
rnacentral:lncRNA from 1 species